rnacentral:rRNA from 1 species
GACGAACGCUGGCGGCGUGCUUAACACAUGCAAGUCGAACGGAAAGGCCCUGCUUUUGUGGGGUGCUCGAGUGGCGAACGGGUGAGUAACACGUGAGUAACCUGCCCUUGACUUUGUGAUAACUUCAGGAAACUGGGGCUAAUACCGGAUAGGAGCUCCUGCUGCAUGGUGGGGGUUGGAAAGUUUCGGCGGUUGGGGAUGGACUCGCGGCUUAUCAGCUUGUUGGUGGGGUAGUGGCUUACCAAGGCUUUGACGGGUAGCCGGCCUGAGAGGGUGACCGGCCACAUUGGGACUGAGAUACGGCCCAGACUCCUACGGGAGGCAGCAGUGGAGAAUAUUGCACAAUGGGCGGAAGCCUGAUGCAGCAACGCCGCGUGCGGGAUGACGGCCUUCGGGUUGUAAACCGCUUUCGCCUGUGACGAAGCGUGAGUGACGGUAAUGGGUAAAGAAGCACCGGCUAACUACGUG